UUGUAGCAACUACAGAAGUAAUUCAGUGGCGAACGGGUGCGUAACACGUGGGCAAUCUGCCGAAAAGUGGGGGAUAGCUCGCCGAAAGGCGAAUUAAUACCGCAUGUGGUGAGGGACGACAUCUUCCUGAAUCCAAAGCCGGGGCAACCUGGCGCUUUUUGAGGAGCCCGCGGCCUAUCAGCUAGUUGGUGAGGUAACGGCCCACCAAGGCUAUGACGGGUAGCUGGUCUGAGAGGACGACCAGUCACACUGGAACUGAGACACGGUCCAGACACCUACGGGUGGCAGCAGUCGAGAAUUUUUCUCAAUGGGGGAAACCCUGAAGGAGCGACGCCGCGUGGAGGAUGAAGGCUUUCGGGUUGUAAACUCCUGUCAUUUGGGAACAAGGUGGACACGUUAACUGCGUGGUCAUUGAUAGUACCAGAAGAGGAAGGGACGGCUAACUCUGUGCCAGCAGCCGCGGUAAUACAGAGGUCCCAAGCGUUGUUCGGAUUCAUUGGGCGUAAAGGGUGCGUAGGUGGCGCCGUAAGUCGGGUGUGAAAUUUCGGAGCUUAACUCCGAAACUGCAUUCGAUACUGCGGUGCUUGAGGACUGGA
rnacentral:rRNA from 1 species